rnacentral:piRNA from 1 species
UGGAUGCACAGCAGGAGACACACAAGUCCC